CGGCAGCGGCACUGCGGCAGCACGUCCCUCCUCUCCGGUCGCCCUCUCCACCGUCCUGUCCCCUCCUUUCCCCUCUCUUCCGGCGGUGCAGAGGCGCGGCGGGACAGCGCCCGCGGCGGCGCGGCGGCGGCGCAGCGUCGCAGAGGCGUGGCGGCGGCGCACCGGCACAGCACACAAGCUGAGAGCGUCUCUGAGACGCACGUCGAGAGAAACUCUGAGAGGAUCACUGUGUAA
rnacentral:lncRNA from 1 species